UUAAUUGGUGCCCAACUAACCAAAUCCUACCAUUUAAAUUAAAGAGGCCCAAAACCAAACUAAAUGAAGUAUUCGAAUUACUCAAAGAGGCCCAAAUUCCUUUUUUUUUUAAAAACAGCAGCUAGUAACUAAUGGCCCAAUUUUAAGUCAAAGCCCAAAAUUAUUUCUCACCAUCUCAUUUCGCCUCUCUUCUACUUCAUUCUAAUUCAGCCCCAAAAUUAAAGAAUUUUCCCAAAUCCAGAUUUCCCAAAUUCCCGUCGCCUUCCCGAUUCACUCCACACCGCCGGCCACUGCUCGCCGAGGAGAUAUGACGCUGCUGUCGCGGUGCUGUCUGAGUAGUCGCCGGGUCAGCCUUCGCCAGCCUCCGCCACUGCAGCGCGAGGGUGGUCGCCGUUCUAUCUCUGCUGUCGUCGCUGUGUUCUCCCCGCGAGUAGUCAUCAAUUUCCGAAAGAGGAAGUGCUGCCUCCGUCGCGCGACGCUGCUGCGGUGCAGUUACCUCCACCGUCGCGUCGAUGCUGCUGUCGCUGCUCUCACCGCCGGGAAGACGCUGCUGUAUAGAAGCCAGCCUCUGCAUCGUCGCUGCUGCUGUACCGGGAUCGACAUCGUGUUGCCGCUGCCCCGCGUACACCACCAACGUCGCUCGACCCGUCACAGGUUCGAGCUGCACCACCCGUCGACGCACACGCCGCUCCGGCAGCCCCGAUUUAACCAGCCCCGUUUUCACCCCGCGAGUCAAGUUCUUAAAUUUUUUUACUAAAGCUUACGGAGGAAGAAAAAUUCUUUCACGGAGGAGGAAAAUCUGCGUAGAAUCUUUAAUUAAUAUUUGAAUUAAAGAUAUUUUAUUUUAAUUAGUUUAGUUUAAAUCACAGCCCAUUGUAUUUUAUUUUAAAUUGUGCAGUACACAAUUUAUUUAUCACGGACUGGACUUUUAUAUUACUAUUUAUUUAAUUUAUCGGAUCCAACAUGGAAUUGAGUCCAUUAAAUAUUCCUCAUGGAAAGGAAAUUAUUCAAA